UUGUUGGUAAGGUAAAGGCUUACCAAGGCUUCGAUCAGUAGCUGGUCUGAGAGGACGGCCAGCCACACUGGGACUGAGACACGGCCCAGACUCCUACGGGAGGCAGCAGUGGGGAAUUUUGGACAAUGGGGGAAACCCUGAUCCAGCCAUGCCGCGUGAGUGAAGAAGGCCUUCGGGUUGUAAAGCUCUUUCAGCCGGAACGAAACGGUUACGGAUAAUACCCGUGACUACUGACGGUACCGGAGGAAGAAGCACCGGCUAACUACGUGCCAGCAGCCGCGGUAAUACGUAGGGUGCGAGCGUUAAUCGGAAUUACUGGGCGUAAAGCGUGCGCAGGUGGUUUUGUAAGUCAGAUGUGAAAGCCCCGGGCUCAACCUGGGAACUGCGUUUGAAACUACAAGACUAGAGUGUGGCAGAGGGGGGUGGAAUUCCGCGUGUAGCAGUGAAAUGCGUAGAGAUGUGGAGGAACACCGAUGGCGAAGGCAGCCCCCUGGGUUAACACUGACACUCAGGCACGAAAGCAUGGGGAGCAAACAGGAUUAGAUACCCUGGUAGUCCAUGCCCUAAACGAUGUCAACUAGUUGUCGGGCCUUUACGGGCUUGGUAACGUAGCUAACGCGUGAAGUUGACCGCCUGGGGAGUACGAUCGCAAGAUUAAAACUCAAAUGAAUUGACGGGGACCCGCACAAGCGGUGGAUUAUGUGGAUUAAUUCGAUGCAACGCGAAAAACCUUACCUACCCUUGACAUGUAUCGAAGCCCGCAGAAAAGCGGGGGUGCCCGAAAGGGAACGAUAACACAGGUGCUGCAUGGCUGUCGUCAGCUCGUGUCGUGAGAUGUUGGGUUAAGUCCCGCAACGAGCGCAACCCUUGUCAUUAAUUGCCAUCAUUUAGUUGGGCACUUUAAUGAGACUGCCGG
rnacentral:rRNA from 1 species